rnacentral:rRNA from 1 species
CCUACGGGGGACUGCAGUAGGGAAUCUUCCACAAUGGGCGCAAGCCUGAUGGAGCAACACCGCGUGAGUGAAGAAGGGUUUCGGCUCGUAAAGCUCUGUUGUUGGAGAAGAAUGUGCGCGAGAGUAACUGUUCACGCAGUGACGGUAUCCAACCAGAAAGUCACGUCUAACUACGUGCCAGCAGCCGCGCUAAUACGUAGGUGGCAAGCGUUAUCCGGAUUUAUUGGGCGUAAAGCGAGCGCAGGCGGUUGCUUAGGUCUGAUGUGAAAGCUUUCGGCUUAACCGAAGCAGUGCAUCGGAAACCGGGCGACUUGAGUGCAGAAGAGGAUAGUGGAACUCCAUGUGUAGCGGUGGAAUGCGUAGAUAUAUGGAAGAACACCAGUGGCGAAGGCAGCUGUCUGGUCUGUAACUGACGCUGAGGCUCGAAAGCAUGGGUAGCGAACAGGAUUAGAUACCCGGGUAGUC